AUUAAAUAUACAGCGAAAGGGUUAAGACUAUUAUACUCUUAUGAGUGGUUAGGAUAAUAAUGGUUCUCGAUUAGAAUGAUAGUGGUGCUUUAGGAUUGAGUGAAUAGUUGGUUGAAUAUUAUGAUUUAACGGAUAAAAAUGAUCAAUGGGAUAGAUCUAACGAUCGAAAAUUUAUGAGUAUAAAAAAAUUUAUACUCAUAAGAAUAUAGUAGCUGAACUCCAGAGAAAGUCUUGUUUGUAACAGUUAUAUUUAUACAAGGUAUAGUCAAAAUCAAUCCCUCU
rnacentral:lncRNA from 1 species